rnacentral:rRNA from 1 species
AAAUACACGGUAUCCGUAGAUAUGAAGUCGGUACCAAGGGAGCCAGAAGGCGGAAUCGAUAACCGGAGGAAGGAUCAGGAACGCCGGAAUGAUCGGCCCUGCACUUUGGGUUACCCCUAGGAAACUGGGUCUAAUACCGGAUAGGACCUCGGGAUGCAUGUUCCGGGGUGGAAAGGUUUUCCGGUGCAGGAUGGGCCCGCGGCCUAUCAGCUUGUUGGUGGGGUAACGGCCCACCAAGGCGACGACGGGUAGCCGGCCUGAGAGGGCGACCGGCCACACUGGGACUGAGACACGGCCCAGACUCCUACGGGAGGCAGCAGUGGGGAAUAUUGCACAAUGGGCGCAAGCCUGAUGCAGCGACGCCGCGUGAGGGAUGACGGCCUUCGGGUUGUAAACCUCUUUCAGUACCGACAAGCGCAAGUGACGGUAGGUACAGAAGAAGCACCGGCCAACUACUGCCCCCGCGGAAAUACGUAGGGUGCGAGCGUUGUCCGGAAUUACUGGGCGUAAAGAGCUCGUAGGCGGUUUGUCCGCUCUGUGAAAACCCGCACUCAACUGCGGGCUUGCGGGCAUACGGGAAGAUUGAUACUGCCGGGGA